UUCGCGCCAAAUUUAUACCAUUAUUCGCGUUGGACGCGCUUCCGAACAUGUCAGCGUUGAACGUGGACUUGUUUGGAAUAGCGCGCGGCCGCUGCAAAGAAGUGGGUUGUGACUGUGAAUGCUACACUGUGCUCGCUUCAGCUAACGUACGGUGUGACUACUGUGAUUAUUGCCCCGGAUCGCAUGGAAGAUUAGACGAACUUGUUGUGCAUCGAGGUGGAACUUCGGUUCAAUGCUAACAUAGCAAGACUCGAGAGCGAACUCAAUGAUGUGGUAGACGUUUUCUCUGAAAAGAAAGAACGGGUCUGCACACUGGUGGAUGUUAUGAAGCACAUACAAGGCAACGUUGGGCACAGUCUGAUAAAUGAGACGGAAUUGCCUGGUGAUGAACUUCAAAUAUCAGCGCCUCACAUUUACUGCACUCCUGACUAAGUCUGCGUUUUUGCUGGCAGCCAAGCUGAAGUCAUCUCUGUCUCCACAUCUGGAUUACCGCGGGCACUUAUUUUUUGUCUUUUGGUGUAUUAUAUAAAGAACUUACAGUAUCAAUUUGCGUAUUCCCAGAUGCUUGCUCUUGUGCAGAAAAUUGCAUUGCCAGGAGAUAGGCCACCAAAAAGUGUGGUUUGUGGACGCCUGAAAU